GCCUGGCUGGCUCAGUUGGUAGAGCAUAUGACUCUUGAUCUUGGGGUUGUGAGUUCAAGCCCCAUGUUGCGUG
rnacentral:tRNA from 1 species